GCUUUUACAGAGCAGCAGAAAGGGAAGGAGCAGCACUAGGCAGAUGCUGCUGGUGGUUGCCACUUGCCGCCCACGCUCCCCAGGGCACUCCUCAUAAUCACAGCCACAUUCUGCACACAGGUGUCCCUAGAUGUAUGCUCUGUUGCCGUCUUUUCAUUCAGCAAAGGAAGUGGAAAAAAAUCCUUAUCUUCUUGCAGAUCUAGAAUAGGAGACAAAGGACAGCAAGGGAAUAACCAUGGACCUCCUUCUCUGUUUUGUGUCAAUUUUUGCAUCAGAUCCAUGUCUCUGCUGUCUUCAUACCCUUUGCUAUACAGAGCUUCCAAACACACCAUGGCCUGUUCCACAAAGAAAUAUUGAGCUCUCACAAGGUACUUUUAUCAGCACGUCAAAG
rnacentral:lncRNA from 12 species